GGCGCGGGGGGGCUAAAAAUGCAGUCGAGCGAGCUUGCCUAGAAGAAUUUGGUGCUUGCACCAAAUGAAACUAGAUACAAGCGAGCGGCGGACGGGUGAGUAACACGUGGGUAACCUGCCCAAGAGACUGGGAUAACACCUGGAAACAGAUGCUAAUACCGGAUAACAACACUAUACGCAUGUCUAGAGUUUAAAAGAUGGUUCUGCUAUCACUCUUGGAUGGACCUGCGGUGCAUUAUCUAGUUGGUAAGGUAACGGCUUACCAAGGCAAUGAUGCAUAGCCGAGUUGAGAGACUGAUCGGCCACAUUGGGACUGAGACCCGGCCCAAACUCCUACGGGAGGCAGCAGUAGGGAAUCUUCCACAAUGGACGCUAGUCUGAUGGAGCAACGCCGCGUGAGUGAAGAAGGGUUUCGGCUCGUAAAGCUCUGUUGGUAGUGAAGAAAGAUAGAGGCAGUAACUGGCCUUUAUUUGACGGUAAUUACUUACUAAGUCACGGCUAACUACUUGCCAGCAGCCUUCGUAAAUACGUACGUGGCAUGCGUUGUCCGGAUUUAUUGGGCGUAAGCGAGUGUAAGUUGUUCCUAAGUCUGAUGUGAAACCCUUCGGCACUCCCGGAGAAUUGCAUCCCACACUGUUCAUUUUGCUUUGCUCAACACGACAGUGGAUCUCCAUGUGUAGCGGUGGAAUGCGUACAUAUAUGCCAAGAACACUACUUCUUACAGCCGCUCUCUGGUCUGCCCUGACCCUGAUGCUCUAAGGCUUGGUUAAUCCACAUGAUUAGAUACCCUGGGUAGACCAUGCUGUAAACUAUGAGAGCUGAGUUGUUGGCAGGAUUUCCGCCUCUCAGGGCUGCACACUAACACCAUU
rnacentral:rRNA from 1 species